ACCCCCUAUAGCCAUGGAUACUGACAGACUAGAGUACUGGAGAGGUAGGCGGAACUACAAGUGUAGAGGUGAAAGUCGUAGAUAUUUGUAGGAAUGCCGAUGGGGAAGCCAGCCUACUGGACAGAUACUGACGCUAAAGCGCGAAAGCGUGGGUAGCAAA
rnacentral:rRNA from 1 species